rnacentral:rRNA from 1 species
GAUGAACGCUGGCGGCGUGCCUAAUACAUGCAAGUCGAGCGAACGGACGAGAAGCUUGCUUUUCUGAUGUUAGCGGCGGACGGGUGAGUAACACGUGGAUAACCUACCUAUAAGACUGGGAUAACUUCGGGAAACCGGAGCUAAUACCGGAUAAUAUUUGAACCGCAUGGUUCAAAAGUGAAAGACGGUCUUGCUGUCACUUAUAGAUGGAUCCGCGCUGCAUUGGCUAGUUGGUAAGGUAACGGCUUACCAAGGCAACGAUGCAUAGCCGACCUGAGAGGGUGAUCGGCCACACUGGAACUGAGACACGGUCCAGACUCCUACGGGAGGCAGCAGUAGGGAAUCUUCCGCAAAGGGCGAAAGCCUGACGGAGCAACGCCGCGUGAGUGAUGAAGGUCUUCGGAUCGUAAAACUCUGUUAUUAGGGAAGAACAUAUGUGUAAGUAACUGUGCACAUCUUGACGGUACCUAAUCAGAAAGCCACGGCUAACUACGUG